rnacentral:rRNA from 1 species
UACGAAGGGGGCUAGCGUUGCUCGGAUUGACUGGGCGUAAAGGGCUCGUAGGCGGUUUGUCGCGUCGGGAGUGAAAUCCACUGGCUUAACUGGUGGCUUGCUUUCGAUACGGGCAGACUGGAGGUAUGCAGGGGAGAACGGAAUUCCUGGUGUAGCGGUGAAAAUGCGCAGAUAAUCAGGAGGGAACACCGGGUGGCGAAGGCG